GAUGAACGCUGGCGGCGUGCCUAAUACAUGCGAGUCGAGCGAACGGACGAGAAGCUUGCUUCUCUGAUGUUAGCGGCGGACGGGUGAGUAACACGUGGAUAACCUACCUAUAAGACUGGGAUAACUUCGGGAAACCGUAGCUAAUACCGGAUAAUAUUUUGAACCGCAUGGUUCAAAAGUGAAAGACGGUCUUGCUGUCACUUAUAGAUGGAUCCGCGCUGCAUUAGCUAGUUGGUAAGGUAACGGCUUACCAAGGCAACGAUGCAUAGCCGACCUGAGAGGGUGAUCGGCCACACUGGAACUGAGACACGGUCCAGACUCCUACGGGAGGCAGCAGUAGGGAAUCUUCCGCAAUGGGCGAAAGCCUGACGGAGCAACGCCGCGUGAGUGAUGAAGGUCUUCGGAUCGUAAAACUCUGUUAUUAGGGAAGAACAUAUGUGUAAGUAACUAUGCACAUCUUGACGGUACCUAAUCAGAAAGCCACGGCUAACUACGUG
rnacentral:rRNA from 1 species